AAAAGUUGACUUCUGCAAAAAUCUGCAUAUUUUUUGGUCUUUCUGUCCUUUUAGGACUGCACCCACGCAUAUGGAGGUUCCCAGGCCAGGGGUCGAAUAGGAGCUACAGCUGCUGGCCUACGCCAGAGCCACAGCCACGCAGGAUCCAAGCCUCGUCUGCGACACCUACACCACAGCUCAGGGCAACGCCGGAUGCUUAACCCACGGAACGAGGCCAGGGAUUGAACCUGCAACCUCAUGGAUGCUAGUCAGGUUCGUUAACUGCUGAGCCGUGAAGGGAACUCCAUCCAAACACUUUGAAGUGGAGCCCAGCCUGGCCUGCAAGGAGCGUGUGAGCCUUUAAAGGCUGACAAUGGGGAGUAACCCCCCCCGGUCCCUGAUAAGAUGGUUUUAAAUAUGAGAUUCCUCAAAAUCACAGGGGCAUAUGGGGGAAAAAACGUCAGAAUCUAAAUCUCCGGCUUCUUCUAGCUGCUGUUGGUUUCAGAACAUGAAUGUGGGCGUGGGGAACGGGUCUGUUUCGCUUUGCUUGGGCGCCAGCUAAUGGCCUUUGGCCAGCGCCUUCCAUUAUCCCGGAACCGCCCGGCAGCUACAACCCACAAGGGUGGCCCCAUUAGACGGGGCCUGCCCAGGGGACCUGGGGGACGUUUCCAUGGUGCCGAGUCCUUUCUGAAUACAGGGAGGGGGGGUGCCCCGAGCUAUUCGUUAAUUAAGCCCAGAACAGCCUGGGACUCAAAGCAGAGGGGCCGAUGUGUGCCAGGGCUCCUGGGCUUCCAUUCAGUCCGCCCCCCCAGCCUUUCCCUUCCGGCCGGGGCCCCACGUAGAGGGAAUGAAAGCCGGAAAGCCCGGGGGUAGGUGGGCUGGGGCAGCUCCUAGAAACGGUGGGGAGCCGCUGCUAAUAGCCUCACCCGCUGCCAUCCCGUCUCAGAGGGCCUGGUCCACUCAGCCUGGUGACAGCUGGUCCCUCUACAGCCUAGUCCCUUCUCCAGCCCCUCCUUCUGUUUGUUAGACUUAGGUCUGGCCGGAGUGUGAGAACACCCAAAAUAACAACAUCCCAAACAAGUUGGAAGUUUCCAAAGUCCCAAGGAAAGCAGUGCAGGUACGGUAUGGGGCAACGGAUGAUGUUCAGAGAUCUGUGCUCUUAGUGUUUCAUCCCCUCCUGAACACAAGACCUCACGGUCCAAAGUGGCUGCUUGGGCUCCAGUCACAACGUCUACAUUCCAGCCCACAGGAAGGAAGGAAGAAAAAGGCGUGUCUUCCCUUGAGGACAGCUCCACCCAUAUCCCAUUGGUCAGAACAGAGUUAGUUGCACAAGCAACUACAAGGAAGCUUAGAAAUGUCUUUUAUUCUAGAUGGGCAUACUUUCAAUAAAAAUGGGAGAUCCAGUUACUAAGGAAGAAGAGGAUAGAUCCAGUGGGAUGGCCCGCCUUCUCCUCCCUGUUCCUCAUCUCCCUCCAGCAUCAGGCCCUUUGGUCCUCUUCGCCCUACUGCCUCCGUGGCCCUUGGUUUAGAGUCAGUGGAAACAGGAGUUCCCACUGUGGUGCAGGAGGUUAAGGAUGCAGCACAGUCUCUGUAGUGGCCCAAGUUCCAUCCCCACCCCAGUGCAGUGGUUUAAGGAUCUGGUGGUGUUGCAGCUGUGACAUCGGUCGCAGCUGCAGCUCGAAUUGCAUCACCGGCCUGGGAAACAUACACCUUUGCCCCUCACUCAACAGACUCGUUUAGAUUGCACGUGGCCCCCUGGAUGCCCUCCACGCCCCAGCGUGGCCCACUGUCCCCUCUCCAGCCAGACACUGCCGCUGUUUCCAGAAACAGGAGGCCCUACCUCAGCUGGCCCCUCACACAAGCUGUUUCCCAGCCAGGAAUGUCCUCCCGCCAAGCCGGCCCCGCCGCUGAGACACUCGUUGGGACCACUCUCUCCUUUCUUUGUGUUCUUGCAAAACCAGCUCGUGUGUUUUAACAUUUGCUGCACCUUUGCAGCAUGCCAGGCACGGAGGGAGGAAGGCAGGGUGCACGAGAUCAAGGUGUGUUUCUUCUGUUUGCAAGUCUGUCUCUCAGCCAGGCUGGGCUCUGUGGCACUGGAGUAAAUUCCUCCUCCGCCACCGGAUAACCCACCUGCCCAGGUGUGGGGCCCCACGUGGGCUGAACUCCGGCUGAGGUUCCUCGCCAGGCCCAGGCGGGAGAGGCCCAGGGGCACGGUGUGCAGGGGGCCAUGGCCCCCGGGUCAGGAACACGCUGCCCACCGCCCCACCCCUCUACCCAAUAGGAAACCAUCAGCCCCCACCCCCACCCCACCCCAGAGAUGGAAGUGGCACCAAGGCAGCUGAGGCUGAGGCGGGGGCACGGAGCUCAGGAGGGAGCAGAGGCUGGGGGUGUCGCACAUUCUGUGGAGGCGUUUGGCCCUCACCCCAGGAGCCGUGGGAACAGGGAAGGGCUGUUGGCAGGAGAAUGACAGGGUCAGAUUUGCAUUUCAGAAGGUGGAAGGACUGGCAGCUGGGAGGGCACACAAUGGCCCCAUGGGCUGGGGCGGAACUCUGCGAAUGCCGCCCACCCCCGGUGCCCACCGGAGCCCAGUGAAGCCAGCCCCCCACCCCCGCCAAAAGGACAGCACUCAGUGCAUCCCCUGGGGUCGGGGGAGGGGAGCCUCACAUGGAGAGCACAUGUCCAGCCAGCCCUCCAUCAGGAGCCCUGCACACCCCCAGGCCCUCAGCAGAGCAGGGAUGCAGGGCAUCUGCAGAGCCAAGGGUGCCCACAGAGUCCACGGUGCCCACAGAGCCAGGCUGCAGCCCUGGGCAGAGGAGGAGGCAAGCCUGGUGGGACCCCCUGCUCCUUCACGCUCCCCCCUCCCCCACGCUGCAGAACAGCUGGGGUGUCUGGGACGGGGAAGGGUCCCUGGGCCUGAGGCAGAAGAGUCCAGGCCAAGGUCAUCCUGGCUGGUGACCGGGGGCAAGCCUCAGUUUCCCCAUCUGUAAACAGGGAGUGUCAGCGGCCACGUCUCUGGUGGCUGUGAGCCAGUGGCCAGGGUGGCCUGUGCCUGCCAGGGUUGCUCUCUGAGACCACCCUGGCAUCUGUUUCGGAAACAAGGGCCUGACUGUGAUAUGUCACCGUCACGGCCUUGCUCCUCUCCUGGAGAGAGGGGUAGCACAUGUGGGCGACUCUGGACAUGGCUCUGAGGCCUGGGAGCCAGGGAGGGGCCCGGGGCGGGGCGGGGCUCAGUGCAAAGGGCACAGCCCUUCUGGGCCAAGCUCCUGCUGACGCGGACAAGGAGUCCCGACAAAGGCUGCCAUCCCAUUUCCCUGGGGAGUGGAGGCCUCCAGGGCGCCCCAGGAGUGGCAACCCACCUUGGGGACUUGUGAAGGUAAUACAUACACAAAAACCAGUUUCAUCUUUUUCUUUUUUUCGGUUGUACCAGCAGCAUGCGGAAGUCUCCAGGCCAGGGAUCCAACCCAUGCCACAGCUGUAACCAGCGCCACAGCGGUCACGACUCCAGAUCCUUCACCUGCUGAGCCACGCAGGAACCCCCAGUUUCAUCCCCUUUUAAGGGUGCAGUUCCGUGGCAUUAAGUAUGUCCACGAUGUGUGCCACCAUAACUCUUUGCAAAUUUUCCCCUCGCCCGGAAGGGAAACGCCUCACCCCCGAAGCAGUCCCUCCCGCGCCCUCUCCCAGCGCCUGGCAGCAGCUCAUCCCCUCCCGAAGUCGCCAUGGAUCUGCCUGUUCUGGAUCCUGCCUGUGAAGAGAAUCGUAGCCUUGGUGGCCUUUUGUGACCGGCUUCUUUCCCUGUGCACCAGGUUUUCAAGCUCUCUCCAGGGUGUCAACAUAAUCAGAGUUUCAUUCCUUUUUAGAGCCGAAUAAUGUUCCCCGUUGCAUCCCGCGGGCCCGUCCGCCGGCGGAGGGCCCUUUGGGUUGCCUCAUCGUCUGGCUGUUGUGAAUAGCGCUGCGGUGUCACGUUAUUCUAUAUAUAUGUCACCCAUCCCUGGGAGCUAAAUAGGACUCUACCCCUUUUAGCCAUGAAAAGGCUAGGCUCAGAAGACCUGUGACUUGGAGUAGGAGGUAGUUAAUUUAAAAAGAAAUGAAAGACCAGGGCAUUGGAGCUGAGAAGCUCUGGUGAGUGCGAGAAAAAAAUGGUCCCCAAAGGUGGAGCCGCAGGGAGCCGGGGCCCACGGCCUCCCUGGGAGGUGGGGUCAUUUUUCGUUCCAUUUCACAGAAACAAAACUGAGGCCCAACUGUUUGCCGCUUGCAUUAGGGGCAAGUUUCUGCAUUUCUGAGCCUCGAAAACCCCCUUACAUCCGCUCUGUGAUGUGACGGCCUGGCCGGGGUUGGACGAGAUCGUGGGUGUGGGUUCUCAGGGGGCCUCCGCUGGUCCUUCCUGCCCAUGAGGGCUGGGCCCUGCUGGGUCCUUCCGGGCUCCCCGGCUGCAGGUCCCCAGAGCGUGGGGGAUGGGAGGCUGUGGCUCCUUAUCACUGUCUGGCCUGCUUCCUCAGCUGGGGCAAGACCAGCGGUUUCCCCAUCAGCUGCUUCCUCCUGAGUCACCGGCCAGUCAUUGAGGGCAUGACCUUAGGUGUCCCAGUCAGUGGCCCCCACUGCAGACUGAGUCCUCUCUGAUUUCUCUGGCCGCUAGGGCCCCUUGGGUCCUUAUUGCUGGUCGUUUGGUCUGCGGCCAACAGCACAAGGCUGAAUUGGGUUCCCUGCCUGGAUGGUGAUUCCCCUGACCCAUAAGCCUCAGUUGCCCCAUCUGUAGAAUGGGGCUAACGUCCAGCAACAGUGAUCCCAGGACAGACAGGAAGAGCCACUGCAGCCCCAGCUAGUGCGUGCCAGGCAAAAGGAGGGCAGGGUGAGGGCGGGUCUCCCUUGUGCCCUGCCCCUGCCACCU
ensembl:lncRNA